GAUGAACGCUGGCGGCGUGCCUAAUACAUGCAAGUCGAGCGAACGGACGAGAAGCUUGCUUCUCUGAUGUUAGCGGCGGACGGGUGAGUAACACGUGGAUAACCUACCUAUAAGACUGGGAUAACUUCGGGAAACCGGAGCUAAUACCGGAUGAUAUUUUGAACCGCAUGGUUCAAAAGUGAAAGACGGUCUUGCUGUCACUUAUAGAUGGAUCCGCGCUGCAUUAGCUAGUUGGUAAGGUAACGGCUUACCAAGGCAACGAUGCAUAGCCGACCUGAGAGGGUGAUCGGCCACACUGGAACUGAGACACGGUCCAGACUCCUACGGGAGGCAGCAGUAGGGAAUCUUCCGCAAAGGGCGAAAGCCUGACGGAGCAACGCCGCGUGAGUGAUGAAGGUCUUCGGAUCGUAAGACUCUGUUAUUAGGGAAGAACAUAUGUGUAAGUAACUGUGCACAUCUUGACGGUACCUAAACAGAAAGCCACGGCUAACUACGUG
rnacentral:rRNA from 1 species